UUGCCAAGGAUGAGAACC
rnacentral:miRNA from 1 species